UGGGGAAUUUUGCACAAUGGGGGAAACCCUGAUGCAGCGACGCCGCGUGAUUUAGAAGGCCUUCGGGUUGUAAAAAUCUUUUGUAUAGGAAGAAAAUGACAGUACCAUAGGAAUAAGGACCGGCUAAUUACGUGCCAGCAGCCGCGGUAAUACGUAAGGUCCGAGCGUUGUCCGGAAUCAUUGGGCGUAAAGGGUACGUAGGCGGGUAAGCAAGUUAGAAGUGAAAUCCUGUAGCUCAACUACAGUAAGCUUUUAAAACUGCUCAUCUUGAGAUAUGGAAGGGAAAGUGGAAUUCCUAGUGUAGCGGUGAAAUGCGUAGAUAUUAGGAGGAAUACCGGUGGCGAAGGCGACUUGCUGGACUUCAACUGACGCUGAGCAACGAAAGCGUGGGUAGCAAACAGG
rnacentral:rRNA from 1 species